rnacentral:siRNA from 1 species
UAGCGAAAAAUGUGUGGGUUCAACA